UUGCUCAGUAACGGCGAGUGAAGCGGCAACAGCUCAAAUUUGAAAUCUGGCCCCCCGGGCCCGAGUUGUAAUUUGCAGAGGAUGCUUUUGGCGCGGUCCCCUCCGAGUCCCCUGGAAUGGGGCGCCACAGAGGGUGAGAGCCCCGUAUGGUCGGAGACCAAGCCUUUGUAAAGCUCCCUCGACGAGUCGAGUAGUUUGGGAAUGCUGCUCAAAAUGGGAGGUAAAUUUCUUCUAAAGCUAAAUACUGGCCAGAGACCGAUAGCGCACAAGUAGAGUGAUCGAAAGAUGAAAAGCACUUUGAAAAGAGGGUUAAACAGCACGUGAAAUUGUUGAAAGGGAAGCGCUUGUGACCAGACUUGCGCCGGGCGGAUCAUCCAGCGUUCUCCGCUGGUGCACUCCGUCCGGCUCAGGCCAGCAUCGGUCUCCGGCGGGGGACAAAAGCUCCGGGAACGUGGCCUCUCCUCAGAGGUGUUAUAGCCCGGCUGCAGAAUACCCCGCCUCGGGGACCGAGGACCGCGCCCUCCGGGGCAAGGAUGCUGGCGUAAUGGUCAUCAGCGACCCGUCUUGAAACACGGACCAAGGAGUCGAGCAUUAGGGCGAGUGUAUGGGUGUAAAACCCGCACGCGUAAUGAAAGUGAACGUGGGUGAGAAGCUUUUCUUUCACGAGAAGCCGCAUCAUCGACCGAUCCUGAAGUCUUCGGAUGGAUUUGAGUAGGAGCCUUAACGCUCGGACCCGAAAGAUGGUGAACUAUGCCUGGAUAGGGUGAAGCCAGAGGAAACUCUGGUGGAGGCUCGCAGCGGUUCUGACGUGCAAAUCGAUCGUCAAAUUUGGGC
rnacentral:rRNA from 1 species